GACGAACGCUGGCGGCGUGCCUAAUACGUGCAAGUUGAGCGCUGAAGGUUGGUACUUGUACCAACUGGAUGAGCAGCGAACGGGUGAGUAACGCGUGGGGAAUCUGCCUUUGAGCGGGGGACAACAUUUGGAAACGAAUGCUAAUACCGCAUAAAAACUUUAAACACAAGUUUUAAGUUUGAAAGAUGCAAUUGCAUCACUCAAAGAUGAUCCCGCGUUGUAUUAGCUAGUUGGUGAGGUAAAGGCUCACCAAGGCGAUGAUACAUAGCCGACCUGAGAGGGUGAUCGGCCACAUUGGGACUGAGACACGGCCCAAGCUCCUACGGGAGGCAGCAGUAGGGAAUCUUCGGCAAUGGACGAAAGUCUGACCGAGCAACGCCGCGUGAGUGAAGAAGGUUUUCGGAUCGUAAAACUCUGUUGGUAGAGAAGAACGUUGGUGAGAGUGGAAAGCUCAUCAAGUGACGGUAACUACCCAGAAAGGGACGGCUAACUACGUG
rnacentral:rRNA from 1 species